CUAGCGACUUCAGAGUUUGAUUCCUGGCUCAGGAUUAACGCUGGCGGCGUGCAUAACACAUUCAAGUCGAACGGAGUUGGUGCUUCGGUAUCAACUUAGUGGCGGACGGGUGAGUAACGCGUGAGCAACCUGCCUCUUAUUUUGGAACAACACAGGGAAACUUGUGCUAAUACCGAAUAACACAUCUGCUUCGCAUGUAGCGGAUGUCAAAGUGAUUCAGCGAUAAGAGAUGGGCUCGCGUCUGAUUAGGUAGUUGGUGAGGUAACGGCCCACCAAGCCGACGAUCAGUAGCCGGACUGAGAGGUUGAACGGCCACAUUGGAACUGAGAAACGGUCCAG
rnacentral:rRNA from 1 species